CUGCAAACCACCAAACCCCUGGGGAUAAAAACUUGCCAGAGAGGCAUGGGAGGGGGGCACCAUUUCUUCAGAAGCAUCAUCUAGAGAAGGACCUGUCUGUGUCUUGGCAUGGCACCAAAAGUCUAAGCCCCAAAGUGGGUCACAGCACUUAGAGGAGAUCAUUCCCUGAAUCGCAAGAGGAGGUACGUCUGGAAACAGGGGACAUGGAGUGUCCCAGGGUAUGACCCUGCAAAUCCUGCGGCUCCAGCGGAGCAGCAGCUUAGGCUCCCGGGAGCCUGCCAGCUCACAGCCUGGGCGCUCUCCCGGGAGGCGGGCUCACCCCUCCGGCCCCGAAACCCCGCUCCCCGCCCUCCAGGGGUAGGAGGGGGCGGCGGAGAGAUACGGCUUCCCCCGAGGGAAGGCGGCGGCCAGGAACCAAAACUCGCCGGGGUGAUGCCAGGGAAAAACUGCGGUUUCACUCCAGGUUGGGUCUGUGAACUGAGGGUUCCAUGAGAACUCAGAACGCAUCUGAUGCACUCCUGGCACCUGCCUUCUGCUAUAUUGCUAUCUGGAUCCACUCUGUGUACUCACCUCUGCCGGGCAAAAUAAAAUGUGGGUGUCUGACAGAAAGGGAGCUGGUAUGACUUUCCCAAAGCUGAGAGCUGGAGCCUGCUCCACAGCAUACUAUUCCAGCAUCCUCCCCUCAAAUCACCUUUCUGCCCGGUGCUGAGCCUCCACCCCCAGGCAUGCACGAGGUCUCAGGUCUCCACUUCUGCAAGGAGCUGUGCACGUUUUGGAGAGCGUAGACGCUCCUUGUUUACUGCUCGCAUGCCUUCACUUGGCUCAAUGUGGUGUUCUAACCCCUGGUAUUCAUUUUACCAAUGCCUGAAAUGACAGGGAUACUAAGCUAAUACCGUGUCAAUGGAACUCUGCUCUCGGUGUAAAGAAAGAGAAGA